AUCGACGUCAAUAAAGUUUUUCUGAACAGUAUCUGUUCUUAUCAGCUUAAUAUCUGAUAUGGUCCCUAUAUGGGUCCGUGAUAUUAGCCUUAUUUUUGUAACUUGGCGGGGUUGCUGGGCUUGCCCAGUUCCUGCCAGGGUCUGCCCGGUAUUGCACUACAACCGGGAUUGGCCCAGUUCCU
rnacentral:snRNA from 2 species